rnacentral:rRNA from 1 species
GCCCAAGAGAUCGGGAUAACACCUGGAAACAGAUGCUAAUACCGGAUAACAACAGAUGAUGCCUAUCAACUGUUUAAAAGAUGGUUCUGCUAUCACUCUUGGAUGGACCUGCGGUGCAUUAGCUAGUUGGUAGGGUAACGGCCUACCAAGGCGAUGAUGCAUAGCCGAGUUGAGAGACUGAUCGGCCACAAUGGAACUGAGACACGGUCCAUACUCCUACGGGAGGCAGCAGCG